GUUUCUUUAGCUCGGAGGUAGAGCACUGGUCUCAUUACCCCGGGGUAGGGAGUUCCAAUCUCACAUGAUGCA